ensembl:lncRNA
CCAGAACUCUCUUCUUUUGUGGGCACAUACCACCUUAGGCUGCCAGGUUACAGACUUUAGUGUCAUGAAUUGUAGCCACAUCACUGCAGAGUUUCCAGCAAUGGUUGCCAUGGCACCAGGUGGCCUAAUCAUCAGUGUUUCAACAGUAUAGAGGCAGCAACACCUACUCAAAAAACUAGAGGACUAUUGGUGGACAUAGCAGGUUUCCUGGAUUUCUGUCAAUAGAAGAUUACCAAAUUAGGCCCAGAUCCCUUGGCAGAGGGAACAUUGCUGGAGUUCCUGGAGAAAUUCCAGGAAGGAAAGCAUGAGAGAGAGAAGAACCAUAUUAUUUGUGAUAAACGGAAUGAGACUCAGUGACAUUUAAUGUGACUAUUAAAAAUAAUGAGUUGCUGUUCUAUGCCCUGAGCUGAAGUUUUCACUGGCUUACCCAUAGCCCCUGGUGGACCCAGAGUUCACAUACAGGCAAUGCCUGUGCAUAGCAAAGCUUCAGUCAUCUCUCUCUGGAAAGAGCUGGAGAACGUUCAGACCAUGCACAGGGCAGCCCAGAGGGCCAAGAGCUCACACUCAGGAAUUGCACUCACUGACUGCCAGUACUUAAGAGUCAUUACCUUAUUCUUCUGCAGUGCUUACAAGGUGGAAGAGGAAUAAACAAUAAGCACAAACGGGACGUCUAAUAGUGGAUGGAGCCCAAGAUCUUGGAGAAGCGAGUGUUUCUGACGGGUUCAAGUUUCAUGCACUCAGCAUGCCUUCAUCAGUUCCUAUUUUGUGCAGAUACCCACCCUCUGCCAUGUACCAUACAUGCCUCAGGGGACACUGAGCUCUGUUUAGCUGUAGUAAGCCAAGGGUGACCACAUCUUGCUCGUGAUUUGCUGGGAAUCUUCCUAUCUUCUUGUUUCUACAACUUUCACCUUUGUGCAUCCGCUACCAGCCUUUGUCUUCUGGCAUGAUUUGCACCCAGACUUAUCCAGCAUUGCGAUGUAACCCUCCUCAAAUCAUAGAGUCGAUGACAAAGAACGAGGUGAAAAAUAAAACAUUUAAGAUCCAAAGGUCAGAGCAGAGUUUUCUAAGAUGGCAGUCUACAUGUCACAAAAACUUUGCAUAAGAGUAAUUUCACAAAUGUGAAAUACGUUUUCUCAAUGCCACACCACACCUCACUCCCCAAGUUCAUGCCAGUUCAUAAUGCUCGUUUCACGCUUUGCACGGCUUUAUAAGUUCUUUCUCGGUAAGAAAGAGAAACCGCCCCACCUCCUUCCCUUUUCUUAUGAAAUAUAUUUUACACAGUGACUGACAUGACUGUGAAUGCAGAUUGUAUGGAAAAUAAUGCCUGUAAUUUCUGACUGCUACCUUCACUCAGAGCUGGAUAUAGGGAGCGUUUAGACAUAGCUGGAAAAAAUGUGUUCGGUACUACUUUUUCUUUUUCAGAAAAUGGUUGAUGGGUGGGAAUUCAAAGUUUAUUCUAGAAUGCAGAUCUAUUCAAAAUGGACCUUUGACAGACCAUUCCCUCAGACCCUCUUCAUAUUCACCGCUAAUCCCCUUUUCUCUUUUAUAACAACAAUCAUACAUAUUCUCCUCAUUUCCUGCCCCUACUACCUCAAUUCUUUUUAGACGUUUUGAUGCCAAAGUAUUCUUCAUUUUCUUGCUCACUAGGAACAAAUUAAAUCAGUCUGAGGACUGGGAUACUUGGCCAUUCUAGGUUCCUAUGCAAUGGAUUGAAAAAAAAUCCAUGUAAUGAACUCUGAUUGGAUUUAUUUUUGGAUUCUAGUUUUUAAAUUACACUGGAGACACCACGAGUCAACUUAUUAUGCCUAGGGCUUUAUGUUAGAACUUGAAGGUCAGGGGUUGGAGGCUGUGUCUUCUGGUCACCAACAUCACUCCCAACAUUUAUUCUCUAG